rnacentral:rRNA from 1 species
UACGUAGGGGGCAAGCGUUGUCCGGAAUCAUUGGGCGUAAAGAGCGCGUAGGCGGUCCGGUAAGUCGGCUGUGAAAGUCCAGGGCUCAACCCUGGGAUGCCGGUCGAUACUGCCGGACUAGAGUUCGGAAGAGGCGAGUGGAAUUCCCGGUGUAGCGGUGAAAUGCGCAGAUAUCGGGAGGAACACCUAUGGCGAAGGCAGCUCGCUGGGACGUUACUGACGCUGAGACGCGAAAGCGUGGGGAGCGAACAGG